rnacentral:lncRNA from 1 species
CCCAGGCCAUCUGUGUUUACCAGAAAGGGCCAUUUUUCCAUCCCCCUGACGUCCAGGAAGGCACUCAAGAAGGAACGGAGCGUGCCUCCCUCCGGGCCUGUCCCCCGUCCCUGCCAGCAGGCCCAGCUGGCUGCGUUCUGAGAUCAAGCGCUUUGAAGAACGGGGCCACUGCUUCCUUCACCAGGGCCUGGAAACGCCCAGCCGAGCCGUGGCUGCAGUGCGAACCCGUUUCCUUUCAGGUGAAAAGGUGUUGCUAAGACUAACAGGAUGCAUCAGUGCUUGUCUUUUCCAGAAACCAACCAGCCACAUAAGAAAUCUUUAAUUAACAAACAUAUUUAUAAGAGUGGAAAAAAUCAGGCCACCAGAUGGGGAUAUCCCUGAGGACAGGGGCAGCAUCACUCAUCUCUGUCCCCUUGGCACCAGCACAGUUGAGGAGAUGCUCCACGUGUGUUUGUUGAGCAGAUCAGUGGGAGUGAAGCAACUGACCCGAGUUCUUCCCUGGCCGCCCGGGAGAAGAUGAUGGAGACAGCACGUAACAUUCUGUUCCUCUGCUUUGCUCAUCUCCAGGCUGUCGGGAUGAUGGAAAAAGUGCAUCUUACCCUGAAGCAUCUCCAACAAUGGCAAUGGCCAAAGCCUCUUCCAGUCUCUGCCAAAUUCCACCUGCAAGAAGCUCUCCAUGUCGUCUGAGUCCCCCAGGAGCUGCCCACCCAGCCACGACACUGAGGAGAAGGAGCAGGCAGAGGCAAACGAGGCUCGCGGUGGGUCGUGACUUGCGCACGGCCACACAGCUGCCGAGAACAAGACAGGGCGAACCAGGAAGUCAGACAGCAGGCUGUCUACGCAGAACCUCUUCAUCAGUAUGGCAUGCUGCCCUCUAACAUGCUGCCGACAACGUCUAGCUUCGUCUUAGCACACAGGAGGCCCAUGAAGCAACCUUCUCAUUAAUCUCUCCACUCUCUCGUCCAACAGGGAAAAGUGAGGCCCAUUUCAGGGAGUAGAGAGGUUUCAGAUGAUGACUGACAGAAUUUUAGAGUCAGCCUGGCCCGGGAGAAAUUGCAAAGUCUCUAGAGUCCGGCAGUCAUCCACACCUCAGCCCACCUACUUUCUGUGGGGGAGUCAGUUGUGAGGUCUUAAUAAGAGACCAAUGUAUGCAAAGCACCUGACACAUAGUAGGUAUUAAAUAAUAGCAAUAGCAAUAACCACAUUUAUACAGGGCUGUUGAUGUGCCAGGCAGCAUUCUGAGCCCAUCCUUAAUGUUAACUCCUAAUCCUCACAUUGACUCUAAGAGGCAAUAGCAAUAUUCUCCCAUUCGACAGAUGAGGAAACUGAGGCACAAAAAUGAUUAAGAAACUUGCAUAGUGUCACACAGUAGGGGGUGGGGUGGCUAGGAUUUGAACCCUAACCCAGAGACAGGGCCCUAAACCAGUGUAUUAUAUUGCGCCCUUUUGCAAGCUGUUCCCCAGCCCUCACCCCCCCGUAAAACAGAACUAUAGUCACGCGCCGCAGAAGGAUACUUCAGUCAAUGGCAGACCACACGGACAACGGUGGUCCUCUAAUAUCAGUACCAUGCAAGCUGGUGUGCAGUGGGCUACACCAUCUAGGUUUGU